AUUGAACGCUGGCGGCAGGCCUAACACAUGCCAGUCGAGCGGAUGAAGGGAGCCUGCUCCUGGAUUCAGCGGCGGACGGGUGAGUAAUGCCUAGGAAUCUGCCUGGUAGUGGGGGAUAGCGUCCGGAAACGGGCGCUAAUACCGCAUACGUCCUGAGGGAGAAAGUGGGGGAUCUUCGGACCUCACGCUAUCAGAUGAGCCUAGGUCGGAUUAGCUAGUUGGUGGGGUAAAGGCCUACCAAGGCGACGAUCCGUAACUGGUCUGAGAGGAUGAUCAGUCACACUGGAACUGAGACACGGUCCAGACUCCUACGGGAGGCAGCAGUGGGGAAUAUUGGACAAUGGGCGAAAGCCUGAUCCAGCCAUGCCGCGUGUGUGAAGAAGGUCUUCGGAUUGUAAAGCACUUUAAGUUGGGAGGAAGGGCAGUAAGUUAAUACCUUGCUGUUUUGACGUUACCAACAGAAUAAGCACCGGCUAACUUCGUG
rnacentral:rRNA from 1 species